AUGGCCACAUCACAUUGAAACACCAGUUCCUGUAUAAUCACUGAAGUUAAAAAACAUUGAGUCUAGUCAGUACCUAGAUGGGUGACCGCUUGGGAAUACCAACU